rnacentral:rRNA from 1 species
ACCGUACUCCUACGGGAGGCAGCAGUGGGGAAUUUUGGACAAUGGGGGCAACCCUGAUCCAGCAAUGCCGCGUGAGUGAAGAAGGCCUUCGGGUUGUAAAGCUCUUUUGUCAGGGAAGAAACGGUAGUAGCUAAUAUCUAUUACUAAUGACGGUACCUGAAGAAUAAGCACCGGCUAACUACGUGCCAGCAGCCGCGGUAAUACGUAGGGUGCAAGCGUUAAUCGGAAUUACUGGGCGUAAAGCGUACGCAGGCGGUUGUGUAAGUCAGAUGUGAAAUCCCCGGGCUCAACCUGGGAAUUGCAUUUGAGACUGCACGGCUAGAGUGGGGCAGAGGGGGGUAGAAUACCACGUGUAGCAGUGAAAUGCAUAGAUAUGUGGAGGAAUACCGAUGGCGAAGGCAGCCCCCUGGGAUAACACUGACGCUCAUGCACGAAAGCGUGUGUAGCCAACAGGAUUAGAUUCCCCAGUAGUCCUUGAC